rnacentral:lncRNA from 1 species
CUAUAUUUGCUUGUACACUACAGACGAAUAAGUAUAUGUACUAUGCAAAUAAAAUUGAGAAUGAAAAUGGGGAAUGUGUCAAAGAGACAACAACUCGACCAUAGAAAAAACAACAGCAGAAGGUCACCAACAGGUCUUCAAUGUAGCGAGAAAUUCCCUCACCCGGAGGCGUCCCUCAGCUGACCCCUAAACAAAUAUAUACUAAUUCAGUGAUAAUGAACGCCAUGAUGUACUAAUUUCCAAAUUGUACACAAGAAACUAAAGUUAAAAGAAUACAAGACUAACAAAGGCCAGAGGCUCCUGACUUGAGAUAUGCAAAAUUUUCUUUAGAAAAUAAGAGUGAUCUGGCCUGCAGCAGCCCAAGAAUAAAACAUCAAUCAGCA